rnacentral:lncRNA from 1 species
ACACGCCCCUUGGAAAUUGAACAACGCACUUCAACCAUGACUUCAACGCAGAGGAUCCAGAAGAAUUUCACAACGAGUCCAUUGGAAGAUAUCGAGGAACAUGAACAUCACCAAUGAAGGAGAGUAACGUUUCCACUUGCUAUAGGAAUUUAGUGAAGCACUAAAUAGUUAAUAAUAAUAAUAAUAAUAAUGUGGUCACCAUUUAUUGACUUUUUGGGUAAGACUUGCUUUACUAAUAUAACCGCGUUAAAACCGCAUUCAUUUACUUUUCUUAUGUAGUUUCCCACUAUUCAUUAAAUGUUUUAUAGAAGUAAAAAAGUUAUCUAGAACUAUACACAUUUGUACAACAAUCAUUAUACAGGAUUUGAACAUUUUCUAUUCGAGCUCAUGCUUCAUUAUAUUUCCAAGGAUUGCAGAGUACAAAAUGAUUUAUGAACAGUGGUUUGUUUUUGUUCAGGAGCGGAUUGUACUCCCAGAGGCUUCAACAGAGCGGGUCUGGAGCUGGGAGCUGCAGGUGGAUGGUGGCCAGGAGCCGUCCAGUCCUACAGGAACAGACGGUGGAGGUGAUGGAGGCGGUCGUCUGGAGGGGCUCGUCUGGAGGUCCGUGGCGGUCGUCUGGAGGGGCUCGUCUGGAGGUCCGUGGCGGUCGUCUGGAGGGGCUCGUCUGGAGGUCCGUGGCGGUCGUCUGGAGGUGCUCGCCGUGAGGUCCGUGGCGGUCGUCUGGAGGCGCUCGCUGCAGGUGGAGGGAAGGCCGUGCAGCCCAAGGGAUGCAGAACGAAGGACUGAGGCGGAGGCCAGCCUGGAGGCGGAGGCCAGCCUGGAGGCGGCGGUGGCCUGGAGGUCCUGGAGGCGUCCAACCUGGAAGGGGUGGCAUGGAGGGCCAGGUGGCGGCUCCUCAUCCAGGCCUGGAGGCGGCCAACCUGGAAGGCCUGGAGACGGCCGAGGUCCUGGAGGCAACAGCGGGCCUGGAGGUGGAGGCCAACCUGGAGUCGGUGGGCCUGGAGGGCCUGGAGGCGGUGGUGGAGACCAACCUGGAGGGCCUGGAGGCGUUGGUGGAGACCAACCUGGAGGGCCUGGAGGCGUUGGUGGAGACCAACCUGGAGGGCCUGGAGGCGGUGGUGGAGACCAACCUGGAGGGCCCGGCGGCGGCGGCGGCGGCAUCCUGGAGGGCCCGGCGGCGGCGGCGGCGGCGGCGUCCUGGAGGGCCCGGCGGCGGCGGCGGCGUCCUGGAGGGCCCGGCGGCGGCGGCGGCGUCCUGGAGGGCCCGGCGGCGGCGGCGGCGUCCUGGAGGGCCCGGCGGCGGCCGCGGCGUCCUGGAGGGCCCGGCGGCGGCCGCGGCGUCCUGGAGGGCCCGGCCGCGGCGUCCUGGAGGGCCGCGGCGUCCUGGAGGGCCCGGCCGCGGCGUCCUGGAGGGCCACGUGGCGGCGGCGGCGGCGUCCUGGAGGGCCCGGCGGUGGCGGCUCCUCAACCAAAGAAAUGA